UACGUAGGGUGCAAGCGUUGUCCGGAAUUAUUGGGCGUAAAGAGCUCGUAGGCGGUUUGUCGCGUCUGCUGUGAAAACCCGAGGCUCAACCUCGGGCCUGCAGUGGGUACGGGCAGACUAGAGUGCGGUAGGGGAGAUUGGAAUUCCUGGCGUAGCGGUGGAAUGCGCAGAUAUCAGGAGGAACACCGGGUGGCGAAGGCGGGUCUCUGGGCCGAUACUGACGUGAGGAGCGAAAGCGUGGGGGAGCGAACAGG
rnacentral:rRNA from 1 species